GACGAACGCUGGCGGCGUGCUUAACACAUGCAAGUCGAACGGAAAGGCCCUGCUUGCCGGGUGCUCGAGUGGCGAACGGGUGAGUAACACGUGGGUGAUCUGCCCCUUACUUUGGGAUAAGCCUGGGAAACUGGGUCUAAUACUGGAUAGGACCAUGCUGUAGGUGGUGUGGUGGGAAGAUUAGUUUCGGUAAGGGAUGAGCUCGCGGCCUAUCAGCUUGUUGGUGGGGUAAUGGCCUACCAAGGCGUCGACGGGUAGCCGGCCUGAGAGGGUGGACGGCCACAUUGGGACUGAGAUACGGCCCAGACUCCUACGGGAGGCAGCAGUGGGGAAUAUUGCACAAUGGGCGCAAGCCUGAUGCAGCGACGCCGCGUGGGGGAUGACGGCCUUCGGGUUGUAAACUCCUUUCAGCCAUGACGAAGCCCUUGUGGUGACGGUAGUGGUAGAAGAAGCACCGGCUAACUACGUG
rnacentral:rRNA from 1 species